CGCAGUCGUCGGCUACACAUGCAGUCGAGCGGCAGCGGAAAGUAGCUUGCUACUUUGCCGGCGAGCGGCGGACGGGUGAGUAAUGUCUGGGAAACUGCCUGAUGGAGGGGGAUAACUACUGGAAACGGUAGCUAAUACCGCAUAACGUCGCAAGACCAAAGAGGGGGACCUUCGGGCCUCUUGCCAUCAGAUGUGCCCAGAUGGGAUUAGCUAGUAGGUGGGGUAACGGCUCACCUAGGCGACGAUCCCUAGCUGGUCUGAGAGGAUGACCAGCCACACUGGAACUGAGACACGGUCCAGACUCCUACGGGAGGCAGCAGUGGGGAAUAUUGCACAAUGGGCGCAAGCCUGAUGCAGCCAUGCCGCGUGUAUGAAGAAGGCCUUCGGGUUGUAAAGUACUUUCAGCGGGGAGGAAGGUGCUGAGGUUAAUAACCUCAGCAAUUGACGUUACCCGCAGAAGAAGCACCGGCUAACUCCGUGCCAGCAGCCGCGGUAAUACGGAGGGUGCAAGCGUUAAUCGGAAUUACUGGGCGUAAAGCGCACGCAGGCGGUCUGUCAAGUCGGAUGUGAAAUCCCCGGGCUCAACCUGGGAACUGCAUUCGAAACUGGCAGGCUAGAGUCUUGUAGAGGGGGGUAGAAUUCCAGGUGUAGCGGUGAAAUGCGUAGAGAUCUGGAGGAAUACCGGUGGCGAAGGCGGACCCCUGGACAAAGACUGACGCUCAGGUGCGAAAGCGUGGGGAGCAAACAGGAUUAGAUACCCUGGUAGUCCACGCCGUAAACGAUGUCGACUUGGAGGUUGUGCCCUUGAGGCGUGGCUUCCGGAGCUAACGCGUUAAGUCGACCGUCUGGGGAGUACGGCCGCAGGUUAAAACUCAGAUGAAUUGACGGGAGACUCGACACUAGCGGGGAAGCAUGUGGGUCUCAUCUCGAUGCAACGCCAAAACUCUUACCUACUCUUAGACAUCCACAGAGAAUUUCCAAGAGAUGGAUUUGCAUGCCUUCGAGAACUUCUGAGAACAGGUGCUUGCCUUGCCUGACAGCAGCUUGCAUGUUGAGAAAGGAUGGGGUUUAUUUCAC
rnacentral:rRNA from 1 species